AGGACGAACGCUGGCGGCGUGCUUAACACAUGCAAGUCGAGCGGUAAGGCUCCUUCGGGAGUACACGAGCGGCGAACGGGUGAGUAACACGUGGGCAAUCUGCCCUUCUCAUCGGAAUAACCAUUGGAAACGAUGGCUAAUGCCGAAUAUGACUUCGGACCACAUGGUCUGAAGUGGAAAGCUCCGGCGGAGAAGGAUGAGCUCGCGGCCUAUCAGCUUGUUGGUGAGGUAAUAGCUCACCAAGGCGAUGACGGGUAGCCGGCCUGAGAGGGUGACCGGCCACACUGGGGACUGAGACACGGCCCAGACUCCUACGGGAGGCAGCAGUGGGGAAUAUUGGACAAUGGGCGAAAGCCUGAUCCAGCAACGCCGCGUGAGGGAUGACGGCCUUCGGUUGUAAACCUCUUUCAGCAGGGACGAAGCGAAGUGACGGUACCUGCAGAAGAAGGACCGGCCAACUACGUGCCAGCAGCCGCGGU
rnacentral:rRNA from 1 species